UACGAAGGGGGCUAGCGUUGUUCGGAAUUACUGGGCUUAAAGGGUUUGUAGGCGGCCAUGUAAGUCAGGUGUGAAAUCCCUCGGCUCAACCGAGGAACGGCGCUUGAUACUGCAUGGCUUGAGGGAGACAGGGGUAAGCGGAACUGAUGGUGGAGCGGUGAAAUGCGCAGAUAUCAGGAGGAACACCAGCGGCGAAGGCGGCACUCUGGGCUGGUACUGACGCUGAGGAGCGAAAGCGUGGGUAGCAAACAGG
rnacentral:rRNA from 1 species